GCGUAUAUUAAAGUUGUUGCAGUUAAAAAGCUCGUAGUUGAAUUUCGGGGUCAGUAGGUUGGUCGUGCCUAUGGUAUGCACUGGCUUUACUGAUUCCUCCUUCUUGAAGAACUGUAAUGUCAUUAAUUUGGUGUUGCAGGGAAACAGGACUGUUACUUUGAAAAAAUUAGAGUGUUUAAAGCAGGCCA
rnacentral:rRNA from 1 species